AGUAACAAAUUAUUUUUCAUAUCAAUUUCUAGAAUAUGUUGAACAAGUAAAGAAUGUUCUUUUCAUGUCUAAUAAACAAGAACUUUCAACUAUAAUGGAAAGAUAUAGAGGAAAAGCACCCGAACCUUUGUGCAGCCAGUUUCCCAACAAACGAUCCAAGGCUGAGGCAGUAAAAAAAUAUGUUGCGAGGAACAAGUAUGUCAGUCAUGCACUUUAUCCAUGCUUGGAACAGCAAAGACAGCAGUUACAAGACCUAACAGAUGAUGCAGAUCAAAUAUUAAAUAGCUCUGGGAAUAAAAGCACUCGCAAAUGUACUAAAUGCAAAGCUCCAAUGAAAGGACAUCCUCGAGGUCAAUGCUUCACUGAGAAAGAAUAAAUUGAAGUUGGUAGAUGAUAGGGUAGUGGUCAGACAUUGCUUGGAGCCUGUCUGGAAUGGAGAAGUAAGGCACCUCCUUCCCACCACCAGCCUGAGGGUUCACCUUAGGCAAGUGAUAGUACCCUCUAGCCUCCCUAUCUGGGCACUGAUAUACACACCUUUCCUGAUGAUUACAGUAUUAAUAUAACAUUGAAUGUUUAAUGCUCAACAUGCCCUUUGUGGAUGCAGUGCACUCAAGUGUGAAGACCUUAUAAGAUAAGUUCAUGUGGCUUGCUAUUUU